UCGGUGUAAAGUUCCUUCCCGAGAAUGUCACAGUGUAAUGCCACGGAGAACUCUGCAGGUCCAAAGCAGGACAACACCCUCUCGAUCAUUGCAGACAAGUCAACAGCUCUGAAAUCGUAACCCACUGCUUCAAAACUUGCAUAGCUGAAUCCAUCCUCGGGGGUUAUGUGAAUUGUGGAGAUUGCGGAGCCUUCAACAGCAUUCAUAGAGUAACCACAGGGGUCAAAGUCGAAAUCACAUAUG
rnacentral:lncRNA from 1 species